rnacentral:misc_RNA from 1 species
GGAAGUAAAAUCGUAACAAGGUUUCCGUAGGUGAACCUGCGGAAGGAUCAUUCAUAAUAAGUGUUUUACUGCACUUUUUAAAAAUAGUACUCACCUUGUGUGCAAUGUUGUGUUUCUUUUCGGAGAAACACCUACACCAACCUAUAACCUUGAACCACUUUGUCUGAAAAACUAUUAUGAAUACUUAAUUCAAAAUACAACUUUCAACAACGGAUCUCUUGGCUCUC